UCAUCAAUAUCCCAUCAUGGAUUGCUAGUUGCUGGUGGAUUCUCUUAUUCAUCACUCAAGGUGUAUGGCAGUUGUAAGCUGUUUUGAACCGGUUCGGGGCUGCUAUGAUAUGAAGGUUGCAAGCUUUUGAUUUGGGUUGUUUUGGUGGAUGAAUCGACCCGUCAUCGAUGGUAAAUAAGUUAAGGGGCUGAUGCGUUUGGUUCCUGUUUACUGCAAGAUAAAGGGUUUAAACUACUUGUUUUGGUGGAAAAUUGGACCUACAAUCUUCGCUUCUGUGGAGUACAACUCUGGCUGUCAAGAAACUUUCAUUAUAAAAACACCACAUUCAUAGAUCAUCACGACUGAUUUCAAAUUCGGCAAUAUUGUUGAUUCUAUAACGAAAGGAAGACCCAUAAAAAUUACAAGCUCGUCAAGAUCACUGAAGAAGUUUUUGAGAUUAAUUUUAAGUGGCGCAUGGCACAGUGCAAACAACAGAAAGGCAGUUGUGAAUGUGGGUAUAUGGUAAUCAAACAUAUGAAAGAGUUUAUCGACUCUAUACAACAUGAUUUGGUUAACCGACUUUGGAAUGAAGAAGGGUAUUUUGAAGAAUCUCAAAUUGAGAAUUUAGUGGUAGAUUUAAUGUCGGGAUUUAUUAAAAAGAUGUUUUGAUCUUGUAAGCAUUAGUUUGUGUUUCAUACUUUUGUAAUUCCGUAUACUUGAACCUGUUGUUGGGUUGUUUAAUACUAGUUAACUUUUGUCGUGA